CACAGAAAGAAAGCACUGGCUAACUCUGUGCCAGCAGCCGCGGUAAUACAGAAGAGUGCAAGCGUUAAUCGGAAUCACUGGGCGUAAAGCGCGCGUAGGUGGAUGUUUAAGUCGGAUGUGAAAGCCCUGGGCUUAACCUAGGAAUUGCACCCGAUACUGGGUAUCUUGAGUAUGGUAGAGGGAAGUGGAAUUUCCGGUGUAGCGGUGAAAUGCGUAGAUAUCGGAAAGAACACCAGUGGCGAAGGCGACUUCCUGGACUAAUACUGACACUGAGGCGCGAAAGCGUGGGGAGCAAACAGGAUUAGAGACCCUGGUAGUCCACGCCGUCAACGAUGAGAACUAGCUGUUGGGAAGUUCACUUCUUAGUAGCGAAGUUAACGCGUUAAGUUCUCCGCCUGGGGAGUACGGCCGCAAGGUUAAAACUCAAAGAAAUUGACGGGGGCCCGCACAAGCGGUGGAGCAUGUGGUUUAAUUCGAUGCAACGCGAAAAACCUUACCUACCCUUGACAUCCUCGGAACUUGUCAGAGAUGACUUGGUGCCUUCGGGAACCGAGUGACAGGUGCUGCAUGGCUGUCGUCAGCUCGUGUCGUGAGAUGUUGGGUUAAGUCCCGUAACGAGCGCAACCCUCGUCCUUAGUUGCCAGCGAGUCAUGUCGGGAACUCUAAGGAGACUGCCGGCGAUAAACCGGAGGAAGGUGGGGAUGAUGUCAAGUCAUCAUGGCCCUUACGGGUAGGGCUACACACGUGCUACAAUGGGCAGUACAAAGGGUUGCCAAGCUGCGAGGUGGAGCUAAUCCCAGAAAACUGCUCGUGGUCCGGAUUGGAGUCUGCAACUCGACUCUAUGAAGUUGGAAUCGCUAGUAAUCGCGAAUCAGCAUGUCGCGGUGAAUACGUUCUCGGGCCUUGUACACACCGCCCGUCACACCAUUGGAGUGAAUUGUACCAGAAGCGGGUGGGCUAACCUUCGCGGGCCGCU
rnacentral:rRNA from 1 species